AAGGAAGCCGUGCAAUUGGAACAGGGCGGGUUGCUGUCAGCGAAAGGCAUGAAGUCAAAAAUAAAUAAAUAAAUGGAAGCCUAAUUGCCAGGGUAAGAAAAUACAGAGGAGGAAAGAGGGAGAUGAAGGGGGAGAACAAGAGCAUCCCCAGUGGCAAAACGGUUAAAAGAGAAGAGUAAAAUCCAGCGCAAAAUCAAGCAGUCAAGUAGUUAAUUGACUUUGCUUUAAUCAGCCCAAUGAAUAUUCAUUAGCGUGCUGGUCCUAAUCACGGGGGCCAUGUUGGCCGCGUUCAGCAGGCGCGCGCCCAGCCCCGUGCAUGCCUCAGCAGCCGCCGUCCGCCCGCACCGCACCGGGGCUGCGGGGAUUGGCCCGCGGCUGCCUCCGGGAUGCCAUAGCAACCCCUGGCCCGUUGCCGUGGCAACAGAGGGGUUUUGUAAGGGCCUGAGCCAGUAAUCCAUAGGCUUAGCGGCGGCAAUGUGUCUUUGUGGGGCGUGCGGGGUGGAUGUAUGGCCGGGAGAUUGGAUGGGCGGGCGGCGUGCGUGGCUCCCAUUGUGUGCCCGCGCCGUGGGAGGGGGCUGCGGGGUCUCCUCCUCCUCCUCGACUCGAGGUGGGGUUUGGGGUACGGGCUCUGCACUUUGUUUUUUGGUGGGGGGGGGAAAAACCCAGUGAAAUUCAGCAGCCCUCCGGUUGUGCGGUUAAUCUCCGAACCCAUCCGAAAGGAGGAGAAAUGCCGCUCGACACCACGAUCCCCCAAAGCCCCAGCAUGAAGCAGCUGUAGGAACUCAUCAUUCACACUGAGCAGAGUUUCCAUUCCAGAAGCUGAACAGCCCUGUUCAUUGUUGCUCGGAGCUGUGGUCCCAUAGUGGUGUACGUGGCCGCAGUACUCGGUGGGAUCGUCUGCACCAUCUCCUGGAUGUUCCAGGUGUUGAGGAAGGGCCGAUGCGCUCAGCUGAGAGAAGCAGUCAUCCCCAGCACAACAGAACCCAGUGGCUGCAGGCUACAAAAAUCCCCACAAAGUGGUCCCUGCUGGGAGAAAGAACCCUCAAGACAAAACUCAAGUCUCCCCAUCCCAGCCCCCAAACACAGGCGAACAGGCUGGCAGGAAGAGCGUGCUGAAAAGGAUCUGACAGUUUGAACAACACUCGAUGACUUAGUUUGUUUUCCCUGACUUUGCGCCAGCGAGCAGGUCUAUGGAUGAAAGACUUUAUUAGGCUUUUAAAGCCACUGACACCGGUCUUUCUUUGACCUGAGGUACUUGAGAAGAAACGAAAACAACGUGUAACUUUCAUGGAGUUGAAAGACUGCCCAAAGCGAAGAAUACUGUUAACAAGAGACCCAAAGUAUCACAAAACACUUCCCAGGGCGACACGCGGCGGAGCGGAGCAGGGGGAGAGCCCUGGGCACGGGGUGAGGACGCUCGGGCACUGCUGAUGUGGCAGUCAGGAUGUGGGGAGAGCACCGUGCCCAGCAACCACAACCAGCCAGCAGCUUUCCCAAUGUUGGAAAAUGCUGGAAAUUCACGCUUCCUACGCAGGGGCCAUAAGCACGCAGGUGAUCCUCAUGCUGUCUGGGUGCCAGCAUUGGAACCAUGGGACAGCCACGAGAGCAAAGCUGUGCUGUGGUGCUGGGGUGGCACUGGUGGUGCUGUUGGUAGCAUCAGGGAGCGUAACGAGGCCAGCUGCAUCCUCCUCCAGAGAGCCCUAAAAGGGUCAGAGCUGGUUCCAAGUGUUACCGGAAUUAUCCGAUCCUCGGGGAUGGAAUGAGAGUUUCUCAUUAAUUUUCUGUACGACUGCUUUGCUCCUCAAGGAGCUUGGCUGAGGGAUUUCGACAAGAAAAGCAAGAAUCAGGCUUUGCCCAUGAAAUAAAUAAAAGUAAGCAAGCCCCUCGGUGGUGGAAGAGAAAGGAUCAAAGAAGCUGCAGGUGCCAGGAGGAGCGGUGCGAUGGAUGCUGGAAAUAAGCAACCCUGUGUGAAGGAGCCCCCCACUUGGAAAAGUAAUAAUAAUAAGAAAGGUGAAUCAUCUUUUUUCCUUCUGAAGCUUCAUAGAAGGGAAAAGAUGGCAAGCCAGGUUUGUCGAACUGAAAUAGUUUCUCGAAACUGGAGACCAGAUGACUGAGAACCAAGCAAGAAGGAUGCUGGCUUAUCAGUCUUGGAAAGGAAUCACAGGAACUGAAGCUGCAUCUAUUUAAGCCUCAGUGGGCUGGGGAAGGAGGAUUCAUGGCUACAAGCCGUGACUGAGAAGUUUUUCUGGAGCUCACUGCAAGGCUGGUCCUUUCCAAAGCACUGCUGGCAGUGGAGAACACGGCUUGGGCAGCACUGGGACUGGUGACAUGGGGACACCAGGAAGCCUCCAGGAAACAGCCACAGCUUCCCGCAGGGCUGGCAGCGCCGUACGCUCUCCUGAAGACCCCGUUUUCUGGAUAGCAGAGAGAUGAGGGUUUUGCUGAGGCCUUGUUUGGCUGGAUUUGCUCCUGUCCCAUUCCCAGCAUCAUCUGUGCGCGUCUGCGUUUCCUCUUUCCUUUCUAUAGGACUGAAUGUUCUGAGCGAUCAUGUUAUUGUAUGUGUCUGAUGAGCCAUAUGGAAGCUGUGAGGCUUCAGCAGUGUUUGGGGAAUGUCAUGCCAGCUGAUCGUCUCAGCAGCUUUCCCCCUUCUUACCACAUUGCUUUUGCUGCCAUCUCCAGUCGUCCCUCGAAGCAAUUCACGCGCAUGCCCGGGGAUGUCAGUGCUUCCCCAGCACCUGGGAUGCAGCCCUCAUCCCUCCUGGGGCAGGAGAGCUUUGGAAGUGCCACCGGGGCUCACUGGGAUCUGGUGAUGCCUUGCAGAGCAUGUUCCACGGUUAGGCUGCCUGCAAGGGUUUGUGGCAUUCAUUACAGCCUCUCUGGCCAGCAAUAUUCCUUUCUACAGUGCUCUCAGAGGUGAGUUCUCCCUGCUGGCAGCUCUUUAACAGCUUCAGCAGCGAGCGGGGCAGCGGGCACUUCUCCAUACCAUGUGCUUUUCUUCUCCUGUGUUGGAAGAGCAGUUCCUCCUCUGCACCUAUGGAGCUUGUUAAUCUCUUCAGAAGGUGCAGCUCCUUGACCGCUGUCCAAGCCUGCACCAUCUGACGUACACAGCAUCCUCUGCCCUGUGAGUAGUCCCCAUCACGCCAUGAAGGCUGCUUAUAGAGCUG